AUCUUUUAUUUUUACUAUUUGUAAAUUUGAUACUGUUUUUUAUCUUAAAACAUUUAAAUUAAUCUUUAAUGUUGUGGCUGAAGUAAUAUUACAACUAGGUUACAUUGACAGUUCUUGAUGUCAUUUUGGGUUGCUCUUGAAUUCACUUGUCAGUUGGCCAUUGAAAUCCAAUAUGUGAGGUUUUCUCCAAAAAAAAGUUCCAACCACGUGGGGAGAGUCCUGUGUUGCCCUGGGUAACAUCCAGGUUUAUCUAUACCAUCCAAUGAAUUUUAUAUAAAUAUGUAAAACAUCCUUAUUAUUUACAUUUAAAGGGUUUUUACCCGAUACAUUUUGGUGGCUCAGGCAUGCAAAUUUUGUAAGUAUGACCUCUUGUUCUUGAAAACCUCUGUCAAUUUUAACUUUUAUCUCAUUUAAUUAGGUUAUACUUAAUUUUAGGGCUUUUAAACACUAAUGAUGGAUUCCUUAAUCCGAAAACGUUUUGUAUUGUGACCCUUAUUUAGGGUAUUUUAAUAUAUACCUUUUACAAGAAACUUGGUAUUUUUGUGAUUUAUGGUAUACAGCCAGCUACAGGAAGUUUAUUUUCCUCCUGGAUUUUGCAUAUUAUAAAGGUAUAAUGAUGGACGACUCUGAAAUAAAGAAGCUUCUUAUUCUAACUGGGAAAUAUGCCACAAUUAAAAGCUGGGACAGAAUGAUAUAAUAUAUAUAGCUUCAGAACAAUAUUAAGAAAGGAGUUAUUAACCAACUGCGGGGCCUUCCAGAAAUGGUAGAACUUCAUACAUUGAAUUGCUGAUAUACAAAGUACUAUUAACAAAAGAAGGAAAAUUUGAGGAAGUUGGAUUUGCCUCUCCAUCCUUUUAUUGUUGUGUAGAAGCCAGUGAUUUAAGAGUGGAGAAAAUAUUUGUGUGUAAUAAUAACGUUUUAUAUCU